rnacentral:lncRNA from 1 species
UGCGCUUCGCCUAGCGAAGGAUUUGCUCGCCUAGCGAGCAUGACAGUUCCUUUCGCUAAGUGAACCACGCUGCUCGCCUAGCGAGCAUGACAGCUCGGGGACAGAUUUUGCUUCUUCAAGAUUAGCGCUUUGAGUGAUGAGUAGACCCCAUUUGAACCUGUUGGAAGUAGCUCAAGUUUUUCCCUUGUGUUGACUGAUCACCCGGAUAGAACCCACAAAGAGUCUUGAAUGAUGUUCAAGCUUCUUGGAUCUGAUUCUGAUUGACAUGAUGAAAUGCAA